rnacentral:snoRNA from 1 species
CCCCUCUCAGGGUCUCACCUGGAGAGUUCCCAGUACUCUACCAGACUUGACUACUGCAGAGAGAGUCAGGCAGAAGCAUAUCCAUUCCAUUCCUAGCUUGGGCAGUGGCUAGCAAGUGGAAGGCAAUCUGCUACAAGU